rnacentral:rRNA from 1 species
GACGAACGCUGGCGGCGUGCUUAACACAUGCAAGUCGAACGGAAAGGCCCUGCUUUUGUGGGGUGCUCGAGUGGCGAACGGGUGAGUAACACGUGAGUAACCUGCCCUUGACUUUGGGAUAACUUCAGGAAACUGGGGCUAAUACCGGAUAGGAGCUCCUGCUGCAUGGGGGGGGUUGGAAAGUUUCGGCGGUUGGGGAUGGACUCGCGGCUUAUCAGCUUGUUGGUGGGGUAGUGGCUUACCAAGGCUUUGACGGGUAGCCGGCCUGAGAGGGUGACCGGCCACAUUGGGACUGAGAUACGGCCCAGACUCCUACGGGAGGCAACAGUGGGGAAUAUUGCACAAUGGGCGGAAGCCUGAUGCAGCAACGCCGCGUGCGGGAUGACGGCCUUCGGGUUGUAAACCGCUUUCGCCUGUGACGAAGCGUGAGUGACGGUAAUGGGUAAAGAAGCACCGGCUAACUACGU